UGGUAGCCUCUCAUGACUUCAGAUACUGCUCGCAUUCCAGAUAACACUAAAACGAAAGGAAAUGGUGACUCUUCCAUGAAAGGAGCUGGUAAAGCAAUCUUCGUGCAAGAUAUAUAACACAUCAUCUAAGAAAGGGACGUGUGGUGGAUUCAAAUAAUCACACUGUCAUUUGAAUACACCUUUGUAAUUGAACACGUGCAAGAUAUUCUUACUUGAACCCUUUAAAUCUUGAAGCCAUUUGUUUCAUAGUGAUAUAUAAAUGUUUUUAUAACCUACCAGUUACUAACCAAACCCGAUUUCAUCGGUUUUAGCUUCAUUCUCAAGUAGACUCAUCCAUUUGGAUUUUCAAAAAUCAUCCUCCACCCUCUCUUCGUCGCCUACAAUACUUGUCCCAUUUCAUGAAUGCAUUUUUUUUAAUUCCAUUUUGAUCAAUAAAGCUUAUUAAGCAACUAAAAGAGAAAUUAAAAAAGCAAUUAAAAGAGAAGGCAUCACAACUUACACCACCCCUGCCCCACUCCCCCAAUUGCAUCCAAAAGAAAACAGUGUUUUUCCUUCAUUUCUAUUAUCGGAGUGGGGGCGGGGAGAGGAAUCCAAGGAACAGACAAAAAGGAAGAGAGAAUUCUGUGGAGGGGGCAAUAAAUUUUUGAAGUGGGAGAAAAGAAGCAAAAGGACUCGGAGAGAACAGCGGCAAACUUAAGAAAGGAGAAAAUGAAAAUAAAAGAAAAAAAGAGAGGGACCAAUAAUAUCAUAUCAAAUCCAAAAUCACAACCCCAGGAAAGAGGUGUUGCGUUCCCAAUGAUCUGGGAAUUCAAAAUCUAACCAAAACAGAACAAAACAAAACAAAACAAAAUAAGACAUAAUAAACCAAAAAAAACUCAGAUUGCACAGUCCACAAAAAAAAAAGGAGGGUCCGAAAAUUGAUGCUCCAACAUUCGAGCAUCAGUUACUAAUGCAACUUCCAUUCUCAGAUCACACAAAAAUAUCUUCUCAGUUAAUAAUUCUAAAAGUAUUUCGUGACCCAAAACAACGCAUAAAAGCGAAUUUCAGAAAUAACAACAAAAAAAGUAAAAUUACCUAGCUUUAUCGAGUGAAUUGACCCAAAUCCACUGCCUUAAGAUCAACAGAUCCAAUCCAACAGCACAAUUAAGCAGAAAUGCAAAAUCUGACAGGAACAAGGGAAAGUGUUUUUGUUUUUCUUUGGAGAGAGAAAGGGAAAGGGGAGGAGAGAGAAAGAGUAUUGUUAUCACUAGGGGGGUAAUAUAUGUUGGAGUGGGAGAGAGAGAAAGUCGGGGGGUUGGAGGGAAUGAUUUGUUGCCAGGCGUGCUUGUCACUAACGGCAGAGAAGAAAAGGGAGGUGAAAGGAAAGAGAGAGAAAAAAA
rnacentral:lncRNA from 1 species